GAAAAGGCAACGAAAGGGAAGAGUAGCUGAUAUUUGAACUGACAGAGAGAGAAGGCCACCGGCUGAAAGCCAUCUCAAGGGAGAAUCCAGCGAAGUGCCCCCUGGAGCUGACCGGGUGAACAGGCAUCUGCCGCCAGUAGUCCGGUACGUUACUCAUGCGUUAAAUGAAAGAAGGGGAGGAUCCGGUGUAUCCUCUAGUAGAGUGGAACCGCGGACCAGCUUCGUCUCUUGU
rnacentral:ncRNA from 1 species